CUAUACAUGCAAGUCGAGCGGACAGAAGGGAGCUUGCUCCCGGAUGUUAGCGGCGGACGGGUGAGUAACACGUGGGUAACCUGCCUGUAAGACUGGGAUAACUCCGGGAAACCGGAGCUAAUACCGGAUAGUUCCUUGAACCGCAUGGUUCAAGGAUGAAAGACGGUUUCGGCUGUCACUUACAGAUGGACCCGCGGCGCAUUAGCUAGUUGGUGAGGUAACGGCUCACCAAGGCGACGAUGCGUAGCCGACCUGAGAGGGUGAUCGGCCACACUGGGACUGAGACACGGCCCAGACUCCUACGGGAGGCAGCAGUAGGGAAUCUUCCGCAAUGGACGAAAGUCUGACGGAGCAACGCCGCGUGAGUGAUGAAGGUUUUCGGAUCGUAAAGCUCUGUUGUUAGGGAAGAACAAGUGCAAGAGUAACUGCUUGCACCUUGACGGUACCUAACCAGAAAGCCACGGCUAACUACGUGCCAGCAGCCGCGGUAAUACGUAGGUGGCAAGCGUUGUCCGGAAUUAUUGGGCGUAAAGGGCUCGCAGGCGGUUUCUUAAGUCUGAUGUGAAAGCCCCCGGCUCAACCGGGGAGGGUCAUUGGAAACUGGGAAACUUGAGUGCAGAAGAGGAGAGUGGAAUUCCACGUGUAGCGGUGAAAUGCGUAGAGAUGUGGAGGAACACCAGUGGCGAAGGCGACUCUCUGGUCUGUAACUGACGCUGAGGAGCGAAAGCGUGGGGAGCGAACAGGAUUAGAUACCC
rnacentral:rRNA from 1 species